CAGCCAAGCAAAUUGCAGGGGAUAGAGGAAAGGAUCCCUGUUAUCAACACAGACAAGCUUUGGAGCUCCUUACAAGCCUGUGAGUCAUGAGAACCAUCUGCCACUCAGAUCUUCAUCUGCAGAAAGGCUGGCAGACAGCAAGAAGCUCACUUGAGUACCUGAGAUGCCCUCUUGGUAAAGCACACAAGUCAAAGCUAAAACAACGAUUGAGGAAAGUCCUACCUACCAGGGUGGAUCUCAUGAAAAGAAUAUGGUCAGAUAACCCAUUCAUCCAUGCAUUUUGAAUCAUUAAACCAUUGCAUUGAGGCAGAAAGAAGAGGAAGGGCCUUUCUGCAGGAUAGAAUAGAACAAGCUGUUCUAUAUCAAAUUAUACAAUGAAAGCUCUGUUAAAUAUGACUAUAAU